rnacentral:rRNA from 1 species
GAUGAACGCUGGCGGCGUGCCUAACACAUGCAAGUCGAACGGAUGCUUUCGGGCAUUAGUGGCGCACGGGUGAGUAACACGUGGCUGACCUACCUCAGAGUAGGGGAUAACGUUCCGAAAGGAAUGCUAAUACCCUAUAAGCUUCCGACGGUUAGAGGGUUGGGAGAAAAGUUCAGGCGCUUUGAGAGGGGGCUGCGGGCCAUCAGCUAGUUGGUGAGGUAACGGCUCACCAAGGCGACGACGGCUAGGGGGCCUGAGAGGGUGACCCCCCACACUGGAACUGAGAGACGGUCCAGACUCCUACGGGAGGCAGCAGUGAGGAAUAUUGCACAAUGGGCGCAAGCCUGAUGCAGCGACGCCGCGUGGGUGAUGAAGGCUUUCGGGU